UCUUCCGUAGCACAAUUGGUAGUGCACAGUGCUUAUAACGCUGGGAUUGUGGGUUCAAUCCCCACCGGAAGAA
rnacentral:tRNA from 1 species